rnacentral:lncRNA from 1 species
AUGAAAGAAACAAUCAUGAACCAGGAAAAACUCGCCAAACUGCAGGCAAAAGUGCCCAUUGGUGGAACUGCUCACAGAAAGAAGGUGGUUCACAGAACAGCCACAGCAAAUGAUAAAAAACGUCAGUUCUCCUUAAAGAAGUUAGAAAUCUCUGGCAUUGAAGAGGUGAAUAUGUUUACAAACCAAGCAACAGUGAUCCAC